rnacentral:rRNA from 1 species
UACAGAGGGUGCGAGCGUUGUUCGGAAUUAUUGGGCGUAAAGCGCGUGUAGGCGGCUUUGCAAGUCGGGUGUGAAAGCCCUCAGCUUAACUGAGGAAGUGCGCCCGAAACUGCAUUGCUUGAGUACCGGAGAGGAUGGCGGAAUUCCCCAAGUAGAGGUGAAAUUCGUAGAUAUGGGGAGGAACACCGGUGGCGAAGGCGGCCAUCUGGACGGAUACUGACGCUGAGACGGCGAAAGCGUGGGUAGCAAACAGG